rnacentral:rRNA from 1 species
GGUUAAGCGACUAAGCGUACACGGUGGAUGCCCUGGCAGUCAGAGGCGAUGAAGGACGUGCUAAUCUGCGAUAAGCGUCGGUAAGGUGAUAUGAACCGUUAUAACCGGCGAUUUCCGAAUGGGGAAACCCAGUGUGAUUCGUCACACUAUCAUUAACUGAAUCCAUAGGUUAAUGAGGCGAACCGGGGGAACUGAAACAUCUAAGUACCCCGAGGAAAAGAAAUCAACCGAGAUUCCCCCAGUAGCGGCGAGCGAACGGGGAGCAGCCCAGAGCCUGAAUCAGUGUGUGUGUUAGUGGAAGCGUCUGGAAAGGCGCGCGAUACAGGGUGACAGCCCCGUACACAAAAAUGCACAUAUUGUGAGCUCGAUGAGUAGGGCGGGACACGUGGUAUCCUGUCUGAAUAUGGGGGGACCAUCCUCCAAGGCUAAAUACUCCUGACUGACCGAUAGUGAACCAGUACCGUGAGGGAAAGGCGAAAAGAACCCCGGCGAGGGGAGUGAAAAAGAACCUGAAACCGUGUACGUACAAGCAGUGGGAGCACGCUUAGGCGUGUGACUGCGUACCUUUUGUAUAAUGGGUCAGCGACUUAUAUUCUGUAGCAAGGUUAACCGAAUAGGGGAGCCGAAGGGAAACCGAGUCUUAACUGGGCGUUAAGUUGCAGGGUAUAGACCCGAAACCCGGUGAUCUAGCCAUGGGCAGGUUGAAGGUUGGGUAACACUAACUGGAGGACCGAACCGACUAAUGUUGAAAAAUUAGCGGAUGACUUGUGGCUGGGGGUGAAAGGCCAAUCAAACCGGGAGAUAGCUGGUUCUCCCCGAAAGCUAUUUAGGUAGCGCCUCGUGAAUUCAUCUCCGGGGGUAGAGCACUGUUUCGGCAAGGGGGUCAUCCCGACUUACCAACCCGAUGCAAACUGCGAAUACCGGAGAAUGUUAUCACGGGAGACACACGGCGGGUGCUAACGUCCGUCGUGAAGAGGGAAACAACCCAGACCGCCAGCUAAGGUCCCAAAGUCAUGGUUAAGUGGGAAACGAUGUGGGAAGGCCCAGACAGCCAGGAUGUUGGCUUAGAAGCAGCCAUCAUUUAAAGAAAGCGUAAUAGCUCACUGGUCGAGUCGGCCUGCGCGGAAGAUGUAACGGGGCUAAACCAUGCACCGAAGCUGCGGCAGCGACGCUUAUGCGUUGUUGGGUAGGGGAGCGUUCUGUAAGCCUGUGAAGGUGUGCUGUGAGGUAUGCUGGAGGUAUCAGAAGUGCGAAUGCUGACAUAAGUAACGAUAAAGCGGGUGAAAAGCCCGCUCGCCGGAAGACCAAGGGUUCCUGUCCAACGUUAAUCGGGGCAGGGUGAGUCGACCCCUAAGGCGAGGCCGAAAGGCGUAGUCGAUGGGAAACAGGUUAAUAUUCCUGUACUUGGUGUUACUGCGAAGGGGGGACGGAGAAGGCUAUGUUGGCCGGGCGACGGUUGUCCCGGUUUAAGCGUGUAGGCUGGUUUUCCAGGCAAAUCCGGAAAAUCAAGGCUGAGGCGUGAUGACGAGGCACUACGGUGCUGAAGCAACAAAUGCCCUGCUUCCAGGAAAAGCCUCUAAGCAUCAGGUAACAUCAAAUCGUACCCCAAACCGACACAGGUGGUCAGGUAGAGAAUACCAAGGCGCUUGAGAGAACUCGGGUGAAGGAACUAGGCAAAAUGGUGCCGUAACUUCGGGAGAAGGCACGCUGAUAUGUAGGUGAAGUCCCUCGCGGAUGGAGCUGAAAUCAGUCGAAGAUACCAGCUGGCUGCAACUGUUUAUUAAAAACACAGCACUGUGCAAACACGAAAGUGGACGUAUACGGUGUGACGCCUGCCCGGUGCCGGAAGGUUAAUUGAUGGGGUCAGCGCAAGCGAAGCUCUUGAUCGAAGCCCCGGUAAACGGCGGCCGUAACUAUAACGGUCCUAAGGUAGCGAAAUUCCUUGUCGGGUAAGUUCCGACCUGCACGAAUGGCGUAAUGAUGGCCAGGCUGUCUCCACCCGAGACUCAGUGAAAUUGAACUCGCUGUGAAGAUGCAGUGUACCCGCGGCAAGACGGAAAGACCCCGUGAACCUUUACUAUAGCUUGACACUGAACAUUGAGCCUUGAUGUGUAGGAUAGGUGGGAGGCUUUGAAGUGUGGACGCCAGUCUGCAUGGAGCCGACCUUGAAAUACCACCCUUUAAUGUUUGAUGUUCUAACGUUGACCCGUGAUCCGGGUUGCGGACAGUGUCUGGUGGGUAGUUUGACUGGGGCGGUCUCCUCCUAAAGAGUAACGGAGGAGCACGAAGGUUGGCUAAUCCUGGUCGGACAUCAGGAGGUUAGUGCAAUGGCAUAAGCCAGCUUGACUGCGAGCGUGACGGCGCGAGCAGGUGCGAAAGCAGGUCAUAGUGAUCCGGUGGUUCUGAAUGGAAGGGCCAUCGCUCAACGGAUAAAAGGUACUCCGGGGAUAACAGGCUGAUACCGCCCAAGAGUUCAUAUCGACGGCGGUGUUUGGCACCUCGAUGUCGGCUCAUCACAUCCUGGGGCUGAAGUAGGUCCCAAGGGUAUGGCUGUUCGCCAUUUAAAGUGGUACGCGAGCUGGGUUUAGAACGUCGUGAGACAGUUCGGUCCCUAUCUGCCGUGGGCGCUGGAGAACUGAGGGGGGCUGCUCCUAGUACGAGAGGACCGGAGUGGACGCAUCACUGGUGUUCGGGUUGUCAUGCCAAUGGCACUGCCCGGUAGCUAAAUGCGGAAGAGAUAAGUGCUGAAAGCAUCUAAGCACGAAACUUGCCCCGAGAUGAGUUCUCCCUGACUCCUUGAGAGUCCUGAAGGAACGUUGAAGACGACGACGUUGAUAGGCCGGGUGUGUAAGCGCAGCGAUGCGUUGAGCUAACCGGUACUAAUGAACCGUGAGGCUUAACCUU